UCUCCGCUCCCUGUUUGCUCGCACACGCAUGCGUCAAUCGGUAGCUUGUAACAGGAAGAUUUCCAUCAUAUCCUUCUUUAGAAACACCGAAAUUAUCGGUAAGAAAAAUACCCGUUUUGGGAGAAAAAUCCUCCUCACCCCGACCUACAGAACAAUAGCCCACAGCUGAGGACGCCCCCGACUUUUUUCAAUACAAGCGCCGAGCGGAUGUCUGGAAAAAGAAAAAAGCUUCUGAAAUCCUCCCAAUCGGGCUACCUGUGCCUCCAGUGAUUCUGAGACCUGAACUUCAAGACAUGGUGCAAAGCUCCCGUGACUCAGAAUCCGCAUCCUGAAUUAUGAUGUGGGACACACUGGACAAACAGCUGUCUAAGAUCUCAAGAGACCGCUGGUUCAAAAGAUGGUUCAAUUUAGAGUUCCCACUGGAAAUGGUUUCAGAAAGUCUUUUCCAUACGUUGGGCUUUGAUGUGUUUUAACUGUCAUAAUCUUUCCGUUCAGAGAUGUGGAAAAUAAAUUCUGUUAAUUUUUCUAUUGUAA